rnacentral:lncRNA from 1 species
AAAAUGGAAUGUGAAAUAGGAGAGAGGUAUAUUGAAAUGUUCACAAGGUUCACUUCACCGAAAUGAAACUUUCCCUCUCGCAGAUGUCAAACCCUCCCCCCUUUUUCGUGCGUAAGUCCCCUCCCAUUUCCCAUCAAACUGUUGCUCCCUACAUUCUUGACGCAUCCUCUGAUGUCAUUCUAUUCUCUCAUCACUGUCACUUUGCCUCUCUUGCUUCUUAAUUUUCUUCCUUUUUCCUACUCCUCUCUUUCCUCUCCAUUAUUCCGUCACAAACACGCUCUUAGAGUUUCUCUCCUGCACACACACACACACACACACACACACACACACACAACCUUCUCAUUCAUUAGUAAUUAAUCUGAGAACCACAUCUCCUAUCCCCAGCAGCUGAAUAGAACUGUAGAAAUGCUCUCUUUGAAAAACACCCAGAGGUGACGCUGCCGGGGGCUGCAGGUGGGUUGUGGGCUGGGCCCUGCUGCGAUGCUCAGACCAGCCACCAGGGGGCAGAGAAACAAAAGAGUGAGUCAUCCUGCCUCUGAUAAGGGAAGGAAAAGAGGCAGAGCUGGGCGAGUCCGCUGGGUCCCACCGCAGCCAUGCGUCUCCCCGGCGUUCCUGUUCGCUCCUCUCAGUCUGGGUCCCUGGGGUCCCGGCGCCCACAGGCGCUUCUCCUACUCCCCCUCUCCUGAUAGCUGGACCGGUCACCCGUGUCGCCAGGGGAAGAUGGAUUGGCAGCCUCAAAGGGCCAGCCCAGCGAGCAUCCCAGCCCUGCGGGCGCGGCUGUGAACCGUGAUAGUUCUGCGAACUGGACGGCAGGUGGCGGUAACGGCACCUGUCAACCUGCUGGCUCCUCCGGCUGGAAUUGGAGCUCUGUGGAUGUGUUUUUCAUAGGUCAGCCCCCAGACACACACACACACACACACACACACACACACAUUCCUGGUGCCCCACUGGCAUUCCACUCCUAAAAUAUUCUAAAAUGGGAGUAAUACCAUUAAUAAAAUAGUAAUAAUAAACAUUUAUUGAGAGCUAAAAGUGCCAGGCAUGAACUGUUUUUACAUAAACGGUAGUAAAAUAAU